rnacentral:miRNA from 1 species
GGAGUUUAGAGGGUGUGUGUGUGUGUGUGUGUGUGUGUGUGUGUGUGCGCGCGCGCAUCCACACUCA